GCGCCUGUAGCUCAAUGGAUAGAGCAGGUGGCUUCGGACCACAAGGUUGCGGGUUCGACUCCUGUCAGGCGCGCCA
rnacentral:tRNA from 1 species